rnacentral:rRNA from 1 species
GACGAACGCUGGCGGCGUGCCUAAUACAUGCAAGUCGAGCGGGGUCCAUCCAGUGGCAACACUGGUGAAGACCUAGCGGCGAACGGGUGAGUAACACGUGAGAAACCUGCCCCGAAGUCUGGGAUAACUCGAGGAAACUCGUGCUAAUACCGGAUGCCCCUACGAGGUCGCAUGGCCAUGUAGGGAAAGUUUUUUCGCUUCGGGAGGGUCUCGCGGCCUAUCAGCUAGUUGGUGGGGUAACGGCCCACCAAGGCAUCGACGGGUAGCUGGUCUGAGAGGACGAUCAGCCACACUGGGACUGAGACACGGCCCAGACUCCUACGGGUGGCAG